rfam:Vigna angularis cultivar Jingnong 6 chromosome 3, whole genome shotgun sequence.
AUCGUCUAGCGGUUCAGGACAUCUCUCUUUCAAAGAGGCAGCGGGGAUUCAACUUCCCCU